rnacentral:rRNA from 1 species
UACGUAGGGGGCAAGCGUUGUCCGGAAUCAUUGGGCGUAAAGAGCGCGUAGGCGGUCCGGUAAGUCAGCUGUGAAAGUCAGGGGCUCAACCCUUGAAAGCCGGUUGAUACUGUCGGGCUAGAGUCCGGAAGAGGCGAGUGGAAUUCCCGGUGUAGCGGUGAAAUGCGCAGAUAUCGGGAGGAACACCAAUGGCGAAGGCAGCUCGCUGGGACGGUACUGACGCUGAGGCACGAAAGCGUGGGGAGCAAACAGG